UUGCUUCCCAAUGUCAUGGCUACAUUCUUCCUCACUUACUGUCCAUGUUAUUCCUGUUCCUUCUAAUCAGCCUCGUGGCUUUCAGCUAACUUCACCUUAGUUCGUUUUACUCCCAGCCGCUUGUCUUCCUUGGUUUUUGCAGUCGUUCACCUCUGUCGUUAGCUGUUGCAGGGCUCUGUGUGGCCGCCUUUACUCUAAUCAGCCUCUGGGGCACAACUCCGAGAAGCAGGCAUUCAUGCCACCUGACGACUGAAACUGACUGAGCCCGCGGAAGAGGCUGGGCUGCCAAUCGGAUGCACUAAGACACCAUGUGCAGGACAAGCUCAUGGAAAGGCAGCGAUAGCAGGUGUUUACUUAGCCACAGGGAAAUUUCUCACCGUGUCCAGAUGUACUUGAACAAUUGGAAUCUGGGAUGUAAAGUUGAAAAACUACCAAAUUAAGAGUUUUCUGACUUUUAAAUGUUAUGACAUUAGAUUCUGCCAAGAUUGCCUGAAUAAUGUGUGCUCUUUCGCUGUGCCAUUCUGAACUUACAAAACUUUUUAUCUUUGGACAUCUCUGGUCUUAUCUUUGAUAAGAAGAAAUCUGGCAUCAGUUGUAAUAGUUUUUAAAUAUUUACAGUGUUCAAUAGCAAGGUUCCCCAAGAUGUAUCGAAAUUGGACUUGACUAAAAGUUUAUAUUUACAAAUAAGGAAUGUGUGUGUGUGGCAAUGCAUGGGCUGAU